UGCUGGUGUGCCUUUCUUGCUGUGCUCCUGCCCAAGCAGCCAGUUAUUAAUUUCCUUCCUACUAGUUGAAAACUUUUCAGCCAGAGUGCAGGUGAUAACCAUUUGGUUACUCAAAGAAUCCCUUGGGAGCUGAAGAAGCAGCAUCUUCCAGGCUCAGGGGCAUCAUACCUGUGAUCACCUCUAUUUCUGGAGUAAUCUUUGGAUUCUUCAGCAGUUGGUUUGUUACUGAAAAGCUUGGAAUAUUUCCUCUGAUUGCCUUCCU
rnacentral:lncRNA from 1 species